rnacentral:rRNA from 1 species
GGGGAAUAUUGGACAAUGGGCGCAAGCCUGAUCCAGCCAUGCCGCGUGAGUGAAGAAGGCCCUCGGGUUGUAAAGCUCUUUUGUCCGGAAAGAAAAGCUUUCGGUUAAUACCCGGAAGUCCUGACGGUACCGGAAGAAUAAGCACCGGCUAACUUCGUGCCAGCAGCCGCGGUAAUACGAAGGGUGCAAGCGUUACUCGGAAUUACUGGGCGUAAAGCGUGCGUAGGUGGUUUGUUAAGUCUGAUGUGAAAUCCCUGGGCUCAACCUGGGAAUUGCAUUGGAUACUGGCAGGCUAGAGUGCGGUAGAGGAUGGCGGAAUUCCCGGUGUAGCAGUGAAAUGCGUAGAUAUCGGGAGGAACAUCUGUGGCGAAGGCGGCCAUACUGACCAGCACUGAC